rnacentral:rRNA from 1 species
UACGAAGGGGGCUAGCGUUGUUCGGAAUUACUGGGCGUAAAGCGCUCGUAGGCGGCUUGUUAAGUCAGAGGUGAAAUCCCGGAGCUCAACUUCGGAACUGCCUUUGAUACUGGCAAUCUAGAGUCCGGAAGAGGUUAGUGGAAUUCCCAGUGUAGAGGUGAAAUUCGUAGAUAUUGGGAAGAACACCAGUGGCGAAGGCGGCUAGCUGGUCCGGUACUGACGCUGAGGUGCGAAAGCGUGGGGAGCAAACAGG